AAAUCCUGGGGUCGAUUUUCUCGACUAAAGGCGAUGCUCCAGCAUGGCCACAGUCAAAUGACUGAAACAAGUAAAAGAGUAUGUGUAAUGUGUUUAUGUUUGUGUGAGUGAUUUUGUACUUCUUGACUUCCAUGUGUUCAGUGACUGUAAACAAAGCAACAUCCUCGCAAUCAUAUGUAUGUAGUGUCAAGCUCGAAGUCAACCACGAAAACAUGCCUGAGCUCCUGGACAUAUCUUAACAUGUUGAGAAAUCUUCGUAAAUAGAAGAAGACACCUAUAACUAUGUUUGGGCCGUUUGUUAUUAGAUGGACAAAGUGGAUUAUUACCUUAUUUGGGGACAGGUGAGGGAUGACGACAUGAAUAGGAUCCUACUUCAGAAAAUCGGCCUCAAUAAAUUCAGUCUGACCCAUGCAAGCAUGGAAAUGUGGAUGACAAAAUGAUGAAGAUGAUGAUAACUGGACUGCUCCGCCCUAUCACUUUUUUUUUAUACCAUAUUCACAUAAAUGCCUCCAAUGCUCCAAGAUAAUUCAAAGGCAUUCCUUAGAUCUAAUAAUUUUGGUAUAAAUAGACACAAAGUAAACCAGAUACUUAUGUGAAUAUGAUAAAACUGCCCCCCAUCCCUUUUUUUUUUUUUACCAUAUUCACAUAAAUGCCUCCAAUGCUCCAAGAACAUUCAAAGGCAUUCUUUAGAUGUAAUAAUUUUAGUAUAAAUAGACACAAAGUAAACCAGAUAGAGAUGUAGCUAUAUAACAGGAUGAACUACUCUGGUUAGUUAAGUUAGUGUAAACAUUAUUUAAAUGUCGGAACCAUUGAAAAAUCAGAGAAUAUAAAAUAGUGGGUGGAGGUUAAUAUUAGUAAUAGUUUAGUCAGCUUACUAUGAAAUCAAAUUACUGCCUCAUUAAUAUACAAAUGUAACGACUAACAAUUACUCCAAGCCAUUGCAUAGUUAUCUCAACAGUAGCUGUUGGUGAAGACUUUACACAAACAUAGGUGCAGAGUGGCUGUGUGGUAAGUACCUUGCUUACCAACAAC